AGUGAACGCUGGCGGUAGGCCUAACACAUGCAAGUCGAACGGCAGCACAGUAAGAGCUUGCUCUUACGGGUGGCGAGUGGCGGACGGGUGAGGAAUACAUCGGAAUCUACUUUUUCGUGGGGGAUAACGUAGGGAAACUUACGCUAAUACCGCAUACGACCUACGGGUGAAAGCAGGGGAUCUUCGUACCUUGCGCGAUUGAAUGAGCCGAUGUCGGAUUAGCUAGUUGGCGGGGUAAAGGCCCACCAAGGCGACGAUCCGUAGCUGGUCUGAGAGGAUGAUAAGCCACACUGGAACUGAGACACGGUCCAGACUCCUACGGGAGGCAGCAGUGGGGAAUAUUGGACAAUGGGCGCAAGCCUGAUCCAGCCAUACCGCGUGGGUGAAGAAGGCCUUCGGGUUGUAAAGCCCUUUUGUUGGGAAAGAAAAGCAGCAGGUUAAUACCCCGCUGUUCUGACGGUACCAAAAGAAUAAGCACCGGCUAACUUCGUG
rnacentral:rRNA from 1 species